rnacentral:rRNA from 1 species
UGUGCAAAGGUAGCAUAAUCAUUAGGUUUUUAAUUAGAAUCUUGUAUGAAUGGUCGGACAAAAGAAAAGCUCUCUUUAUAUUAAGUUUUGAAUUUAACUUUUAAGUGAAAAGGCUUAAAUAAGCUAAAGGGACGAUAAGACCCUAUAAAACGUUAAGCUGGGGAGGCACAAAUAUAUAUUUAAACUGUUUGAUAUUUUAUACAAUUAUUAGUGGGAAGAUCCUUUAUAAAGAUUAAUAGAUUAAGUUACUUUAGGGAUAACAGCGUAAUUUCUUUUGAGAGUUCUUAUCGAAAAGGAAGAUUGCGACCUCGAUGUUGAAUUAAAAUAUUCUAUAUAAUGAAGAGGUUAUAUUAGAAGGUCUGUUCGACCUUUAAAAUUUU